AGCUGGGAGAGCACCUGCCUUACAAGCAGGGGGUCACAGGUUCGAUCCCUGUAGCGUCCA
rfam:Leuconostoc pseudomesenteroides PS12 contig_012, whole genome shotgun sequence.